rnacentral:rRNA from 1 species
UACGUAGGGGGCGAGCGUUGUCCGGAGUUACUGGGCGUAAAGGGCACGCAGGCGGUGCGGCGCGUUUCGCGUGACAGCGGAGGGCUUAACUCUCCGAGGAUGCGAAAGACGGCGGGACUUGAGGGCCAGAGAGGGACACGGAAUUCCGGGUGGAGUGGUGAAAUGCGUAGAGAUCCGGAGGAACACCGAAGGCGAAGGCAGUGUCCUGGCUGGUGACUGACGCUGAGGUGCGAAAGCUAGGGGAGCGAACGGG